rnacentral:rRNA from 1 species
ACUCCUACGGGAGGCAGCAGUGGGGGAAUAUUGCACAAUGGGCGCAAGCCUGAUGCAGCCAUGCCGCGUGUAUGAAGAAGGCCUUCGGGUUGUAAAGUACUUUCAGCAGUGAGGAAGGUGGGUAUGUUAAUAGCAUACUCAUUUGACGUUAGCUGCAGAAGAAGCACCGGCUAACUCCGUGCCAGCAGCCGCGGUAAUACGGAGGGUGCGAGCGUUAAUCGGAAUUACUGGGCGUAAAGCGCAUGCAGGUGGUUUGUUAAGUCAGAUGUGAAAGCCCGGGGCUCAACCUCGGAAUUGCAUUUGAAACUGGCAAACUAGAGUACUGUAGAGGGGGGUAGAAUUUCAGGUGUAGCGGUGAAAUGCGUAGAGAUCUGAAGGAUACCGGUGCGAAGGCGGCCCCCUGGACAGAUACUGACACUCAGAUGCGAAAGCGUGGGGAGCAAACAGGAUUAGAUACCCUGGUAGGCU